rnacentral:rRNA from 1 species
GACGAACGCUGGCGGCGUGCUUAACACAUGCAAGUCGAACGGAAAGGCCCUGCUUUUGUGGGGUGCUCGAGUGGCGAACGGGUGAGUAACACGUGAGUAACCUGCCCUUGACUUUGGGAUAACUUCAGGAAACUGGGGCUAAUACCGGAUAGGAGCUCCUACUGCAUGGUGGGGGUUGGAAAGUUUCGGCGGUUGGGGAUGGACUCGCGGCUUAUCAGCUUGUUGGUGGGGUAGUGGCUUACCAAGGCUUUGACGGGUAGCCGGCCUGAGAGGGUGACCGGCCACAUUGGGACUGAGAUACGGCCCAGACUCCUACGGGAGGCAGCAGUGGGGAAUAUUGCACAAUGGGCGGAAGCCUGAUGCAGCAACGCCGCGUGCGGGAUGACGGCCUUCGGGUUGUAAACCGCUUUCGCCUGUGACGAAGCGUGAGUGAUGGUAAUGGGUAAAGAAGCACCGGCUAACUACGUG